CACCUCCCAAAGGAGCCAAGCUCUGGCCCUGUGGAAACCACAUCCAUCAGCGCCCACUGUGUCCUGCCCAUAUGACGUCUGGCUGCCCUGAGGGGCAGGGCAGGAUUUCUGUAUUUCACCAGAAUCCAUAGUGAGUCCCUGGAAUCUCCCAUCCCCAUCUCAACCCCUGCCCCAGGUUCCAAAGUGGAAGAGCUUUCGCCAUCCCCUUUGCUGGAAUGGGAAGGUGAAACCAUGGGAGGAUGGCAUCGGGCACGAUUCUCUUUUUUAUACUCGUAUUUCAGAGGUGAAGGCCGGAUUUCUUGCCCUGAGCUUCCUGCAGAUCGUGAUGCAAGGCCUGUCCGACAUCAGUUCUACAUUCCAGCCUCCUUUCCUCCCGGGAAAUCAGAGGGAUUGGAGACACAUUGAAGAGAAAAGAGAAGGAAAGGAGAAGAAGAGAAGGACCUCCACGAAGAGUGUGGAAGGGGAUUCCAGAAAGCUGGAAAUCCAGCGCAGGUGAGAGAGCACGGACUUUUAUCCUGGGAGAAACCCCCACCUUCUCCAAGACCCUGGGCCAAUGAAGGGAGUUCCUCAGAACUUCCGCCGGAGUGAGUGACGUUUAGUUUCUUCCUGUGCCCGCAAAAUUCAAACAUAAACCGUUGAAUCUCCCAGAUGGAGAGAGAUGGGAGGGGAUCAUGGCGCCAGGGAAAUUCUUGCCCUUAAAGCUACACCCCAUCAUGGACCCGGAAAGAGAACACAUUCCCUCAGGGGUCCCGCUGCGCUUUGCAGGGUCUCCAGGGUGGCAUUCCACAGUCACGG
rnacentral:lncRNA from 13 species